rnacentral:misc_RNA from 1 species
GCCACGGCCAACAUAUAUGCCUCACUCUACGACGGCUACGCUCCCUGCUCUCUGCUUCUUCUAGUUGUCUCCUUAGCUCCUCAAUCCGCUCAUGAAGUCCUGCAGCCCUACUGUCAGCCAGCUGCAGUGAUUUCUCUGCUGCUGCUUGGGCAGCCAUUGCAGCACUUGCAAGUUCUUCUUUCAGUUUUAACUUGCCAUUUGAUAUCUCUAAAGCAGUCUUCGUUCUCUCCAGUUCUUGCUUCAGUAUCACAGUCACUUUUUCACGUUCUUCAAGCUCUUUUUUCCCAGCUUCAACUUCCAACUCACAGGCUUCCCUCCAUCUAUCAACUUCUGCCUCAGUUUCUUUUAUUCCCAUUAGGAGUUCCUCUAAAUUUUGAGCUAACACCCUCUCCCUUUCUUCCAACUCUUUCAUGUAUAGUGUGUUUUCUGCAAUUUGUUGAGCUUGUUUUUCUGUAAGACUCUGUAGUCUUUCAGCAUCUGACCUAGACUCUUCCAGCGAUCUCCUCAGUUGAGUGAUUUCAAGUCGUAAAUUCUUCAUUAUUCUCUCUACAGUUGAGGCCAGACUAACAACCUCUUCUUCACACUCGCUACUAUCUGAUUUAGUACUGGCAGUAGGACUAGCGGGAGUGGCAGUAAUGGUAACCCCCCAACUCCUCCCCCCAUUCGCACCUA